rnacentral:rRNA from 1 species
CAGUAGCCGCGGGAAUACAGAGGAUGCAAGCUUUAUCCGGAAUGAUUGGGCGUAAAGCGUCUAUAGGUGGCUUUUCAAGUCCACCGUCAAAUCCCCGGGCUCAACCCCGGACAAGCAGUGGAAACUGCCAAGCUGGAGUACGGUAGGGGCAGAGGGAAUUUCCGGUGGAGCGGUGAAAUGCGUUGAGAUCGGAAAGAACACUAACGAUGAAAGCACUCUGCUGGGCCGACACUGAUACUGAGAGACGAAAGAUAGGGGAGCAAAUGGGAUUAGAUACCCCUGUAGUCCCUGUCUCUUAUAC